UACGUAGGGUGCGAGCGUUGUCCGGAAUUAUUGGGCGUAAAGGGCUCGUAGGCGGUUUGUCGCGUCGGGAGUGAAAACACCGGGCUUAACUCGGUGCUUGCUUUCGAUACGGGCAGACUAGAGGCAUGCAGGGGAGAACGGAAUUCCCGGUGUAGCGGUGAAAUGCGCAGAUAUCGGGAGGAACACCGGUGGCGAAGGCGGUUCUCUGGGCCUGUGCUGACGCUGAGGAGCGAAAGCGUGGGGAGCGAACAGG
rnacentral:rRNA from 1 species